AUGCCACAGAUGAGGAAUCAUCGUCCGCAUGCGUUACGAUCAGGGCAUCGUUCCCCAUUUAAAGAUCCGAUGAAUACACCUACUCAUGUGACUGCAAACCAGGCACAUUCUUCUUCAUCACUCGAUGUGCCACGAUCUCCAUUGAGCAACAUAACCAACUCAGUUGUUAAUCAAGAUGGUGAAAAACCAAAAAGUGGUAAAAAUUGGUAUGCACAACUGUCCGAUGAGAAGAGAGCGGAGUACAACCAGAAGCGGCGCAUGGCCCGAGCACACAAGAAGGCUGCAUCUGUUGAUGGAUUAAAGGUAAGAAAAAGUGGCAGAAAAGAAGCCAAAGGGGUCGGGGACAAGUUGGAAGGAUUGUUUAUGCACACCCUGCUGAUGGUGAGAGAUACUUCCUGA
rnacentral:rRNA from 1 species